GUGCCUAAUACAUGCAAGUCGAGCGAACAGAUGAGAAGCUUGCUCCUCUGAUGUUAGCGGCGGGAGGGUGAGUAACACGUGGAUAACCCCUACCUAUAAGACUGGGGAUAACUCUCGGGAAACCGGGAGCUAAUACCGGAUAAUNUUUUGAACCGCAUGGUUCAAUAGUGAAAGACGGUUCUUCUGUCACUUAUAGAUGGAUCCCGCGCCGUAUUAGCUAGUUGGUAAGGUAACGGCUUACCAAGGCACGAUGCGUAGCCGACCUGAGAGGGUAGUCGGCCACACUGGAACUGAGACACGGUCCAGACUCCUACGGGAGGCAGCAGUCGGGAAUCUUCCGCAAUGGGGGAAAGCCUAGCGGAGCAACGCCGCGUGAGUGAGUAAGGUCUACGGAUCGUAAACUCUGUUAUUGGGGAAGAACAANUGUGUUAGUAACUAUGCACGACUUGACGGUACCUAAUCAGAA
rnacentral:rRNA from 1 species